rnacentral:rRNA from 1 species
UACAGAGGUCUCAAGCGUUGUUCGGAUUCAUUGGGCGUAAAGGGUGCGUAGGCGGCGCGGUAAGUCGGGUGUGAAAUCUUGGAGCUUAACUCCGAAACUGCAUUCGAUACUGCCGUGCUUGAGGACUGGAGAGGAGACUGGAAUUUACGGUGGUAGCGGUGAAAUGCGCAGAUAUCAGGAAGAACACCCGUGGCGAAGGCGGCUCUCUGGGACGGUACUGACGCUGAGACGCGAAAGC